UCGAGAAUAUUUAGCAAUGGGCGAAAGCCUGACUAUGCGACGCCGCGUGAGGGAUGAAGGAUUUCGGUUCGUAAACCUCUUUUGUCAGAGAAGAAAAUAUCACACCUAACAGAUGUGAGACUGACGGUACCUGACGAAUAAGCCACGGCCAACUCCGUGCCAGCAGCCGCGGUAAGACGGAGGGUGCAAGCGUUGCUCGGAAUUACUGGGCGUAAAGGGUGCGUAGGCGGCCUUUCAAGUCCGGCGUGAAAGCCCAGGGCUCAGCCUUGGAAGUGCGCCAGAAACUGGAAGGCUAGAGUAUCGGAUGGGAGAGUGGAAUUCCUGGUGUAGCGGUGAAAUGCGUAGAUAUCAGGAGGAAUACCGGUGGCGAAGGCGACUCUCUGGACGAUAACUGACGCUGAGGCACGAAAGCGUGGGGAGCAAACAGGAUUAGAUACCCUGGUAGUCCACGCCGUAAACGAUGGGCACUAGGUGUCGGGGGUAUCCACUCCUCCGGUGCCGCCGCUAACGCAUUAAGUGUCCCGCCUGGGAAGUACGGUCGCAAGAUUA
rnacentral:rRNA from 1 species